GAAGUUAGCGGCGGACGGGUGAGUAACACGUGGGUAACCUGCCCAUAAGACUGGGAUAACUCCGGGAAACCGGGGCUAAUACCGGAUAAUAUUUUGAACUGCAUAGUUCGAAAUUGAAAGGCGGCUUCGGCUGUCACUUAUGGAUGGACCCGCGUCGCAUUAGCUAGUUGGUGAGGUAACGGCUCACCAAGGCAACGAUGCGUAGCCGACCUGAGAGGGUGAUCGGCCACACUGGGACUGAGACACGGCCCAGACUCCUACGGGAGGCAGCAGUAGGGAAUCUUCCGCAAUGGACGAAAGUCUGACGGAGCAACGCCGCGUGAGUGAUGAAGGCUUUCGGGUCGUAAAACUCUGUUGUUAGGGAAGAACAAGUGCUAGUUGAAUAAGCUGGCAC
rnacentral:rRNA from 1 species